rnacentral:rRNA from 1 species
GACGAACGCUGGCGGCGUGCUUAACACAUGCCAGUCGAACGGAAAGGCCCUGCUUUUGUGGGAUGCUCGAGUGGCGAACGGGUGAGUAACACGUGAGUAACCUGCCCUUGACUUUGGGAUAACUUCAGGAAACUGGGGCUAAUACCGGAUAGGAGCUCCUGCUGCAUGGUGGGGGUUGGAAAGUUUCGGCGGUUGGGGAUGGACUCGCGGCUUAUCAGCUUGUUGGUGGGGUAGUGGCUUACCAAGGCUUUGACGGGUAGCCGGCCUGAGAGGGUGACCGGCCACAUUGGGACUGAGAUACGGCCCAGACUCCUACGGGAGGCAGCAGUGGGGAAUAUUGCACAAUGGGCGGAAGCCUGAUGCAGCAACGCCGCGUGCGGGAUGACGGCCUUCGGGUUGUAAACCGCCUUCGCCUGUGACGAAGCGUGAGUGACGGUAAUGGGUAAAGAAGCACCGGCUAACUACGUG